rnacentral:rRNA from 1 species
UACGGAGGGUGCAAGCGUUAUCCGGAUUCACUGGGUUUAAAGGGUGCGUAGGCGGGCAUGUAAGUCCGUGGUGAAAUCUCCGAGCUUAACUCGGAAACUGCCAUGGAUACUAUGUGUCUUGAAUGUUGUGGAGGUGAGCGGAAUAUGUCAUGUAGCGGUGAAAUGCUUAGAUAUGACAUAGAACACCAAUUGCGAAGGCAGCUCACUACACAAAUAUUGACGCUGAGGCACGAAAGCGUGGGGAUUAAACAGG